AAGAUCAUACUUCAUAGGAUCAUUUCUAUAGUAUGAUUAGCGAGUUCACUCACCGAACUUCGCAAAAAUCCCAACCACGAUGAUGUGAGAAGGGGUUUCUUUUUGAGCGUGAAGCGGACUCUGUUGAAAGCUUAGGCUUACAUUGAGUCGUUGAUGAUCGCACCUUUCGCUAUUGUAGCGAAGGGAAGGAAGGAACUCUUUCUGAGUGGU
rnacentral:snoRNA from 1 species